UACGUAGGGGGCAAGCGUUGUCCGGAUUUAUUGGGCGUAAAGAGCGUGUAGGCGGCCUGGAAGGUCAGCUGUGAAAACUCGAGGCUCAACCUCGAGACGCCGAUGGAAACCGUCUGGCUAGAGUCCGGAAGAGGAGAGUGGAAUUCCCGGUGUAGCGGUGAAAUGCGCAGAUAUCGGGAAGAACACCCGUGGCUAAGGCGGCUCUCUAGUACGGUACUGACGCUGAGACGCGAAAGCGUGGGGAGCGAACAGG
rnacentral:rRNA from 1 species